AACAAGGCGUAUGGAAUGACAGCAUUCGAAUAUCAUGGCACAGAUCCAAGAUUUAAUAAGGUUUUCAAUAAGGGAAUGUCUGAUCACUCUACCAUAACCAUGAAGAAAAUUCUUGAGACUUAUAAAGGCUUUGAGGGUCUUUCUUCUAUUGUGGAUGUUGGUGGUGGUAUUGGAGCUGUCCUUAGCAUGAUCGUCUCCAAAUACCCUUCGAUCAAAGGCAUUAACUUCGAUUUGCCCCAUGUAAUUGAGGAUGCUC
rnacentral:misc_RNA from 1 species